AAUCACAUAGAUCAGUAUGAAAUGUGAUUUAAAGCAGGUAGACCUGAACUCACCUUCUCUUCUUUUUUUGUGUUUGACUCGUCUGCUUCAGCCUCCUGCUUCAGGUCAACACCUGGAACUAAACGAGUCGCACACAGGUAAACACUAGGGGGCGAUAUAACCCAGAACACCUCAGGUUGAGUUUUUUUAUGAAGAGUGUAAAGUGACUCAGCUGUAAUUAUCCCAUGUUUUUAGCGUUCGUUACCAUGGUGAUCUACCAACAUGAGAAAAGGGGGUGGCGUGUUUACCUGCCAGGUGAGCGGCGUAGGUCCACAGGAAGGAGUUUUUUGUCAUACAGGACUCACAGAUCAUCUCCUGCAGCUCCACACAGUCUGGAACCUCAGAACCCAGGUGCUAAAAAAAAGAACACAAAGGUGAGACCACCAGAGGGCGCCACGUCACCAUGUGACAUCACAGCUGACAGAUACAUUCAGCCAAUCACAGAGAGACUCGUUAGAGAGGAGCACGAGCACACCUGGUGGACAGGUGAGGUUCAGCUGUGUGUCUCACCUGGUCGUCUGGGUCAGGAUACGGUCUGUUGCAGGUACAGUAAACCCCGAAGAAGUUAUGACUGUAUUUGUUCAGAUGGUUGACGUCGUCCUUCUCCUGCAAAAAACACACACACACACACACACACACACACACACACACACACACACACACACACACACACACACACACACACACACACACACACACACACACACACACACACACACACACACACACACACACACACACACACACACACACACACACACACACACACACACACACACACACACACUCUCA